GCUGAGGUGGACAUCUUGAG
rnacentral:siRNA from 1 species